AAAGAAGUUUAUUUUGAAGAGCGGUUCAAGCAGCAGAAGACGAUCGCAGAUGGACGAAUUCACGGAAUCACGGAGCAACGGAGCUGUUAUGGUGUUUUGUGGAGACAAUGCAAGGAAAAUAAAAAGGAGAAAAGGCAAGCGUCAGUGCAAGAGCAAAGCGCUACCUCCCACAAUGCUAUCAGUUUUCAAUCAUCUCGAAAAACAAUUGGUUGCACUCUAUCUGAGAGAUUUCUCUCCAGUCGAGCAAUGCGUGCAGAUUGCAUCUUAUCAUCAGGACAUUUGAAGAAGAUUUCAGACGUGCUUCUGGAGCCAUUACAAAUGCAUUAAAUGUGGAAGUAGCUGGAGGCUUGAUGAUGGGUUUGGGGUUAGUUUUAGCUCCAGUUCAUCAGUGCAUUUCUGCUCUUAUCACAGGAGCGGGAGUAGUUGUGCUUUCAGGUGCUGCAAUCAGUGAUACAAUCUGGAACAAGAAGAUCAUGAGCCUGCAGGCACAAUUAAUACAAGACACUGAAGCUGAACUGAGGGAAUUUCAGAAUAAAAUCAGCCCUAUGAUGGACAAGAUGAAUGAGAUCAGUCAGCAGGUUCAUGAAAUAUUGAGAGACCUCAAUUACCCAGAGCGUGAUGUUGGAUAUUUAAAUAAAUAUUUUUCAUCUGCCA